CCACAAUCUUUGUGUUUGACUGCUGUAUAUAUGUGACACGCAAGUCUGCAUGCACUGUGUCUUUUAUGCCAUUUACUCUAACCAUUUUUUUUUUUUUUUGUGUGUGACAACUCUGACAAGCAUGUUCUCCUAUGGGACACAAGGCGGAUGAAGAGGCCUAUGUUUCAUGCUCAUAUUCAGGGUAGAGUAUUGAAUUCAGAGUGGCAUCUGGUACGUGAUAAGCUUCUCCAGUUAGCACUCGACUUCAACAUUGUUUACUGUGACCACUGUCUGGUUCAGAGGUAGGUAAUCUUAGGCACUCUAGAUGCUGUGAAUUACAUCUCCCAUAAUGCUGGCAAAGCAUCAUGGGAGGUGUAGUCCAAAACAUCUGGAGUACCGAAUGCCUAUGAAUGAAAAGUGGUGUGUGAAUGGUCCGUAACAAGGGUUGAAGCCUUGACGUGGCGUUACUGCUCACAUGUGUAUCCAUGUGCCAAUUGAACCAAUGUGAGGGACUGCAAUACUUAUGUGGUUACCAAAAAUACUGUGACUGUGGAGAAUGAAGCACCUGUAUCACCUUAACACUGCUUAUACUGUGACCAUAUCGCCUAAAUACUGCUUACACUAUGACCUUAUCACCUUAACACUGCUUAUUCUGUGAUCGUAUCGCCUAAACACUGCUUACACAGUGACCGUAUCACCUAAACACUGCUUACACUGUGACCGUAUCUCCUACACACUGCUUAUACUGUGACUGUAUCACCUAAAUACUGCUUACACUGUGACCGUAUCACAUAAACACUGCUUACACAGUUACUGUAUCACCUAAACACUGCUUAUACUGUGAUCGUAUUGCCUAAACACUGCUUAUACUGUGAUCGUAUCACCUAAACACUGCUUACGCUGUGACCGUAUCACCUAAACACUGCUUACGCUGUGACCGUAUCACCUAAACACUGCUUACACUGUGACCGUAUCUCCUAAACACUGCUUACACUGUGACCGUAUCUCCUACACACUGCUUAUACUGUGACUGUAUCUCCUAAACACUGCUUACACAGUGACUGCAUCUCCUAAACACUGCUUACAUAGUGACUGCAUCUCCUAAACACUGCUUACACUGUGACCGCAUCUAUCGCCUAAACACCACUGUAUUGCCUAAACACUGCUUACACUGUGAUCGUAUUGUCUAAACACUG